AUUCAACAGAGAGGAUGAUGGAGGAUUCGGGGGAAGCAUCCGAACCGCACCGGCGUCUUCGUCCUCAUCAUUGUCAACGCUUUCUUCGCCAGCCAAAUGCACAAGUACGCAAGCCUUCCCAAGAAAAUGACCUACAGCUGAGUGGAGAUGGCAAUGGAGAAAUAUGAGUGGCCAUCUUCAGUGAGGUGAAGAAAGGGAAUGCAUUUGGUGUUCCAGAUAUAUCCCCCCUCUAACGAAGCUGUCAGCUGUACAGCAUUCAUCUAAUGCUACUAUAAAGACCAAGAAAAGCACUUUUGAAGGGAGAAUUGUAAACCAAAUCUUGAUGCAGAGAAAGAGGCCAGGGAAUGUUGAGUUAAGCUUCCUUGAGAAAGAUUGAGCUGAAAAGAACCGGUGUGGUCCCAGGACCACAUUGCAUUCUGCUUAACCCAAAGAAUGUUUCUUGCUUUGAUUUAUUUUUUGUAGUAACUCAGACAUGAGUUCAAUUUCUUAAUCAUUCAUGUUUCAUUUUAGUAGUGUUCCAAAACAUUUCAUUAAUUAUGAAGCUUACGGCAUUCAGGCA